rnacentral:lncRNA from 1 species
GUUGUAUUAAACUCAAUCCAUCCAAAAGGUCAAGGAAGGCAGCCACCAGCUGUCACCGCCCAGCCACCAACCGGCCAGCCGCCAGCCACCAGCUGUUUGCCGCCACAGCCGCCAGCCGCCUUCACACUUGAAGGUUGAAUUUUCUUGUUUUGAAUUCGUGUAUAAAUAGCAAGCUGAGCUUAUGCUAUUAUGUGUGGAGAGAGUAGAGAGAAACACUAGAGAGAGAGA